rnacentral:lncRNA from 1 species
CUAGCUAUCAUUUUUGUGGAAUCUAAUUUCACUGAAAAUAGGACAUCCAAAGGAAUUUUUUUUUCAUAUUUCUCCUGUUAAAUACUUAUGUAACAGCUUUGAACCAAAAGUUUGUCUUUAAGGAAUUGGAAAUCAACUGUGGUUUAUGAACUACAUUGAGUACAUAUCUUAUUUGUGUUUUUACUCUAAUCCCAUAACCUAGAAAACAUGGUGAGUUAAACUCGAAACUAAUGAUUAAUUGCUGUGAGAUGGUUUCGUGGCAUUGAACAUCUGGACUAUGGCAUAAAUUAUCUUUGAUUAUCCACCGGUCAACUUUCUGAUGAAGUCUCCUAUUAAAAACUGAAAAGGGGAAACCAUCCUUUUGUUGUUCCAUAUACUAUAAUUGGAUCUUAUGCGCAUUUUCUUUUAAUUCUGCUUUGUAAGCUUGUUGCCUUCAGCCGAUGAAGCUUCUUGCUAUUUAUUUAUGGCUUGAGAUCUGAGAGUUGUACUUGCUGGACAUCUUAGGAUUUAUCACGAGUCAAGUAUAUCUUGUUUAAUCUUCUGUUGUGAGAAAGUGGCGUAUCAUUGGUUUUAUUUUUCUAUCCUGCA